rnacentral:rRNA from 1 species
AUUGAACGCUGGCGGAAUGCUUUACACAUGCAAGUCGAACGGUAGAGGGGGCAACCCCUCGAGAGUGGCGAACGGGUGAGUAAUAUAUCGGAACGUGCCCAGUCGUGGGGGAUAACGUAGCGAAAGUUACGCUAAUACCGCAUACGAUCUAAGGAUGAAAGCGGGGGAUCGCAAGACCUCGCGCGAUUGGAGCGGCCGAUAUCAGAUUAGGUAGUUGGGGGGGUAAAGGCUCACCAAGCCAACGAUCUGGAGCUGGUCUGAGAGGACGACCAGCCACACUGGAACUGAGACACGGUCCAGACUCCUACGGGAGGCAGCAGUGGGGAAUUUUGGACAAUGGACGCAAGUCUGAUCCAGCCAUUCCGCGUGCAGGAUGAAGGCCCUCGGGUUGUAAACUGCUUUUGUACGGAACGAAAAGGUCUCUCUUACUACGGGGGACUCAUGACGGUACCGUAAGAAUAAGCACCGGCUAACUACGUGCCAGCCGCCGCGGUAACAC